GGAGAGAUACCCAAGUGGAUAUAAGGGGUUAGACUGCGAAAGUGGUGCGAAGGUUCGAAUCCUUCUCUCUCCGCCA
rnacentral:tRNA from 1 species